rnacentral:rRNA from 1 species
AGAGUUUGAUCAUGGCUCAGGAUGAACGCUGGCGGCGUGCCUAAUACAUGCAAGUCGAACGCUUUGUUUUUAAUUGAUAUGAAGAGCUUGCUCUGAUUUGAUUUUAUCUGACAAAGAGUGGCGAACGGGUGAGUAACACGUGGGUAACCUGCCUCUUAGCAGGGGAUAACUUUUGGAAACAAGUGCUAAUACCGUAUAACACUAACAACCGCAUGGUUGUUAGUUGAAAGAUGGUUCUGCUAUCACUAAGAGAUGGACCCGCGGUGCAUUAGCUAGUUGGUAAGGUAAUGGCUUACCAAGGCGAUGAUGCGUAGCCGAGUUGAGAGACUGAUCGGCCACAAUGGGACUGAGACACGGCCCAUACUCCUACGGGAGGCAGCAGUAGGGAAUCUUCCACAAUGGGCGCAAGCCUGAUGGAGCAACGCCGCGUGUGUGAUGAAGGGUUUCGGCUCGUAAAACACUGUUAUAAGAGAAGAACGACAUUGAGAGUAACUGUUCAGUGUGUGACGGUAUCUUAUCAGAAAGGAACGGCUAAAUACGUGCCAGCAGCCGCGGUAAUACGUAUGUUCCAAGCGUUAUCCGGAUUUAUUGGGCGUAAAGCGAGCGCAGACGGUUAUUUAAGUCUGAAGUGAAAGCCCUCAGCUCAACUGAGGAAGGGCUUUGGAAACUGGAUAACUUGAGUGCAGUAGAGGAAAGUGGAACUCCAUGUGUAGCGGUGAAAUGCGUAGAUAUAUGGAAGAACACCGGUGGCGAAAGCGGCUUUCUGGACUGUAACUGACGUUGAGGCUCGAAGGUGUGGGUAGCAAACAGGAUUAGAUACCCUGGUAGUCCACACCGUAAACGAUGAGUGCUAGAUGUUCGAGGGUUUCCGC